rnacentral:rRNA from 1 species
AUGGCGAACUCGAAUGAUAGGGAAACUAAGGAUUUGAGCAAGGGGGGGCAUGCCAUAACGGUGAGGUCCUCGAGCGCUUACUCGAACUCCCUCCAUGCUCAAGACAAGCUUUCCCGUGUCAGUUCAGGAAGCGGACCACUGAGCGUGGUGAUUGUGUAUGCCUUUGAUUGCACUAACCGGACCCCAGCCUGGGACACAGUGGAUGAGGGGAUUUUUUGGUUGGUGCAAGAGAAGCUCACCCACUUCACCGACAGCUGCAUGGGUUACAUCUACGUCAUGUCGACCCCUAACACAUACACGUCGGACAUGAAAAUGGUUGACUCAUCUGACACAAAGGCAACUGGCUACAAGGGAUCCAACAAGUGGUGCACGACAACCUGCACUAAAAACAUGGCAUCAGGCCUCGACGAGGCCAAUAAAAUGAUCAGCAACCGUAUGCACAGCAAUGGCAUCAUCUUACUCUUCUCUGAUGGAUUGAUAAACAAAGGAGACUUCUUCGAUGGAACCAAGAAAUUCAUUUCCAAAGUACCCGUCUACACGUUUACUCUCGGCGGAUACGCAUAUAACCAUGUUCUCCACUCCGCUGCAGAAAAUUCUCCUGGCGGGAAGUUUCACAUUACCCCUGUUCCAGAAAGGCCAAUUCUAUCGGCACCCUUCUCGAAGCUACUAGACAGCCUCCUGGACGGCACCCUCAAGGACAUUGAGAAGCCACCCAUUUCAGGAAGGGAGCCACUAGAUGUGGUGAUUGUGUAUGCCUUUGACUCCACUCAAUCGACCCCAGCUUGGCAUACUGUAGAUAAUGGGGUCUUUUGGUUGGUACAAGAGAAGCUCACCCACUUCGCUGAUAGCUGCAUGGGUUACAUCUACGUCAUGUCAACUCCUAACACGUUCACAUCAGACAUGAAAGUAGUUGACUUAGCUGAUAAAAAGGAUACUAGCUACAAUGGGUUCGCCUGGCGCAGGAUGACCUGCACUAAAAAAAUGGCAUCGGGCCUUGUCGAGGCAAAUAAAAUGGUCACUAACCGUGGUUAUCGCAAUGGCGUGAUCUUGUUCUUCUCUGAUGGAUUGAUAAACAAGGGCGACUUCUUUGAUGGAACCGAGAAGUUUAUCUCCAAAGUGCCUGUCCAUACAUUUACUGUCGGUGGGGAUGCAUAUAACCAGGGUCUCCAAGCUAUCGCAUUAAACUCUCCAGGUGGGACAUUCAACCCCAUUAAAGUUCCAGAGAAUCCGCAUCUGUCGGAGCCAUUCUCUAAGCAACUGGAUAGCCUCCUUGGUGGCACCAUGAAGAACUGA